AAUAAAGUAAGCUAAUUUAAGCUGUUGGGUUCAUACCCCACUUAUGAGAGCUUUAACCUCUUCUUUUUUA
rnacentral:tRNA from 1 species